ACCCUACCACCCCAUAUAGUGUUAUCCCUAGCUCCUUCUCUUGAUUUCAAAUGCUCCCUAAGACCCAAAUCCUAGAGGAGCUUGUUCAUUCUCUCAAUUUAUUUGUUGUUCUUGUUUGUUCUUCAAUUUGUAGGAGCCCCAACUUCGUGUGGUUAGUGCUUGUUGAUAGCAUAGAGUCCCAAGAGGGUCAUGAGCAGAGCUUGCCAUGCCAUGCGUUGCGAUGGAUAACAAGAAAGAUGUCGAAAGUUGUCUUCAAUGAAAAACUAUAACACCAAAAAAUACAUUUUUUUAAUGGUUUCUCUUUACAUUAUUCUUAUCUUCUCUUUUCUAUUUGUGCUAAGCCAUUAAAGGUUCUAUUUUUCUUUUUUAUGGAUCUCAUGGUUAGUUGUGAAGAUCAUCUCAUAUACAUAAAAAGAAAAAUGGAAGAUUAAAAGAAAGAUCACUUCAUCAAAAUAGGAAAGGACAAUCAUGUGCUUUGCUUCUAUUGCUCAUUCUGAUUUGGAGAGCAUGUGUGUGAUGGUGGAGACUAGUUGCAUUUGCUUAGAACCUGAGAACAUGGAUGGACUUUUAUGUUGGACCAUUAUAAUUAAACUGAUAAAAGGCCCAAUUUAAUUAUUUUUCUGUGGACUUUAAAAAAGUUAAGCAAAAACAGUAAAAGAAAAGUGCAAAAAAAAAAAAA